rnacentral:rRNA from 1 species
AAGCGCUCGCCACCAGACUUGCGCCCGGCGGAUCAUCCAGCGUUCUCGCUGGUGCACUCCGCCGGGCGCAGGCCAGCAUCGGUUCGCCGCGGGGGACAAAGGCGGCGGGAACGUGGCUCCCCCGGGAGUGUUAUAGCCCGCCGCGCAAUGCCCUGGGGCGGACCGAGGUCCGCGCUCACGCAAGGAUGCUGGCGUAAUGGUGAUCAGCGA